GGAAACCGGCUAUAACCAGUUGUUAGGCUCAUGAGACUUCCGAUAUAAGUGAGAGCCGGAGUGAGGAGUGGAGACCAGUUGUGGAUACACGGUAGUAGCCCUUAGCAGCAGGGAUUCUAGUUCUCCGCCGUUGAUUUGAUCUUUGAUCAAACGACCAUGCCGAUCCGCAACAUCGCCUUUGGAAGGCCCGAGGAGGCGACUCGACCCGACGCUCUUAAAGCGGCGUUUGCUGAGUUUAUAUGUACCUUGAUUUUCGUGUUCGCCGGCGAAGGUUCCGGCAUGGCCUUUAACAAACUCACUGACAACGGUUCCACCACUCCCGCUGGCCUCGUUGCCGCCUCUCUGGCUCACGCAUUCGCUCUCUUUGUUGCCGUCUCUGUAGGAGCCAACAUCUCCGGUGGGCACGUCAACCCCGCAGUCACCUUCGGUGCCUUCGUCGGCGGUAACAUCACCCUCCUCCGGGGCAUCCUAUACUGGAUUGCUCAGCUUCUUGGGUCCACCGUAGCUUGCUUGCUACUUAAGUUUUCCACCAACGGCAUGGUAAGCUUAGCAUUCCUCUAAGAGGUUCGUUAUUUCCGUUACUUUGACAGUUGAGAGUUGUUAACAAAGAUUUAUUGGGUUGGGUUCCACUGUUUCGCAGACCACCAGCGCCUUCUCUCUGUCUUCAGGAGUGACAGUGUGGAACGCGUUUGUUUUCGAGAUCGUGAUGACCUUCGGGCUGGUGUACACAGUCUACGCCACAGCCAUUGAUCCAAAGAAGGGCAAUUUGGGAAUUAUUGCACCGAUUGCCAUCGGUUUUAUCGUGGGUGCUAACAUUCUGGCAGGUGGGGCCUUCGACGGUGCCUCAAUGAACCCAGCAGUAUCAUUUGGGCCUGCCUUGGUGAGCUGGACCUGGACCAACCACUGGGUCUACUGGGCCGGGCCUCUGAUCGGAGGAGGGCUUGCUGGACUUGUGUACGAGGUCUUCUUCAUCAGCCACACUCACGAGCAGCUCCCCUCCACAGACUACUGAGCUCAUCAAUCCAUGAACAGUUCCGAGGCUUUUGUUUGAUGUAUUUAUUUCUUUACAGGCUUGUUCAUGUGUUUAUUUCGUGAUCGCUGAUCUUUCCAUCAUCAUCAUCGUUGUUGCCCAGCAACGCUAGGUGUGGUUGUCUUAUUCGAUCGGCUCCUAUUUAGUUUUUCCAUGUUUCAGUUCCUUGCAUUUUCAAUUUUCGAUCUUCUUUCUUAAAACCUUCUAAUCUGGUAACCAGUAAUUGGUCUUUAGAGUUGACCCACUCAUAGUUCAUUGGACGCGGUGACCCGGACGUGGGGUUGCUGUUAUGAGGUUGGGUGUGCAAAAUAAUGGAGUAAAUUUAUGGCGUCAGUCACUAUGAACCCCGUGAUGAGCAUGCCUAUUAUCACUCAGAAGGCCAAAAGAAAGAAAAAAAAAAAACCAGCUGGGUGCUUGAUUUCUUGCCAUACAGCUGUGAUCAUGGAGCAAUGAGUGACAUUAUUACUGAUUUAACACUAAACCAACUUUCGUUAAUCUCCAAAAAGAAUCUAAGCAUUGUGUACCAUUUACUUGUUUUCUUUCUCCUUUUUUGGUAAAUUGGCUUUUUGGUCGUCUUUUCUUGGUUUAUAUAUAUUACAAACUACAAAGGCACAUGAGGGAACUAACCCUGUGCAUGGGUAAUAUAUAACAUGUAGAGAUUCCUAUCAAUCAUGAAUAUGGAGAAGCAGGCCAGACAUGUGAAGCUUUAUCAGUGUUAGGUUCAGAACCCAUGGCACCAUACUUUCCAGGACCGGGCUCUUUCCUUUGUCCUUUCUUUUCCCUUUUUUUUAUUUUUCAAAAAAAUGAACUUGUUUUUGCGUCCAUCAGUUGUCAGGGAAAGCUGAAGCGUUUCACUCCUUGUCCCUCCUUUUCAUUAAUCCUCUCCACUUUGGAUAGGUUGAUGACUGGUCCAGACACUACGCUCCAUGCUACUAUUAUCACUACUUUAUAUAUAUGCAUCAUUUCUGUUUAUAUUGGGGCAUAUGUUAUGUCCUAGCCGUUUGGAAAGCAAGGAAAAAAGAAAAAAGCAACAACUUUUUUUGAAAUUUUGAGGAAUGCAUAAUUAUGCCCUCCAACAAGUGCUUGUCUUUACCAUGGAUCCAAAUAUUUCUGUUAACUACUUGGAAGAUGAAUCAACGCUGUUUUGGAGCCUUAGCAAUCAGAGUUUUACCUCAACAGGCUCUUUUGGAAUGAGGGAGAAAGAGGGAUGAUUCCUUGAUGCAUUGAUGCAAACAGGGAAAUAAAAGCAGUAGAAAGGAGAGAGCGUCCCCAUCUGCGCAUCUAAUGAGGAUCACCAAAAGUGGAGGUUGGGUCCGACCACUUCCAAUGUGUAGACGGUUUCAAUGAAUGUCAUUAAUUACGGGGGCUUCGGAUAGGAUUGCUUCGUUUGGAAAGUGACUUUUUAUCCCUGCCACGUGGGGCUGACCAUAUUGUUAUAGCCUAUUGACCAUUGACCUGCAUCAACUGUAUAUAUAUAUAUAUUUUUUAGGUCUUUCUUUUCUUUGAUAAGUUGUACGCAAAUUAUAUUAUUAUCAUCGUAGGCUCGAUACAUCAUCAAGAUAUAUUUUUUAUGAUUUUUGUUAGAGUUUGGUAACUGAAUUCUAUUUGAUAUGACCUGAAAAUUUGAUGUAUGACAUAUAUGUUAAAGAAAAAUUAUUAGAUUUUUUGGGGGUUUAUAGCGGGUAUGGACUCAUAUAUAUAGUAGUCACUUAAUUCUCUCUUAUUUUAUAUCAAUUUUUGACCUAAUGGAUUUUUUCUUCUCUUCUAUCUAUAGUUUUUUGCAUCUAGAUUUUUCCACGAAAAUCUUUGUUCUUAAUUUUUUUGUUGCUUAUUCUCGUAGCAAUUUUUUUUUUUUUAAAAAAAAAUUAUUUAAGUUGGAUCAAUUAGACAACUAGUAAAUACUGUAGUCACAAAAUAUUUUGCAGAAUCCAAGCUACUAAACUGGAGAUCCAGACUUUUGGGUAAAAGAGUGUGAAAAAUGGUGAGUUGAAUGGAUGAAGUUUAAAAGGGGUUUUGGUGGAUUGGUGUCCAAUAGGAAAAGACAUCAUGGGCCUAGGUCUGUGGGCACAACCACAAGCCUGCUCCUUGAAGUUCAGGUUUAAUGAAUUUAAAUGGGCCACGAGUCCAAGGACCAUCCAAUUUGGGCCCCAAGCUUUCAAUUCUAGUAACAGAGCUGGCUUUUGUCAGCCAUAGUUAGAUUAUGCUGGCUAAUAAUAUAUAAAGCACUUUGUUAAGAGUAUAGUAUGUCAUGCAUAUCAAUUCAUUCGACCAUUUUCUCAGGAGACCCAAAGAUCAAAAAGGCCAAAAAAAAAAAAAAAAAGCCUGAGGGGAAGAAUAUGUUAAGUGUGUGCAGUCGGCAGUCGGUGGAAACUAGAGACCGAAAGUCCAGAAUUUGACGGCAACAAUAUGAUUAACACGUAAAAUUGGAAUCCCGCCCACCGUUCCCUGGCACAUGGGUUUGAUAGGUCAAAAGUAGCUAACCUUCAAAACGUAACACGCCACAUCAUUCACGUGAUAACUCCAGUCACUGUCUGUAGGAGUCCUAACCAAUUCAAAACUUGGCGUGAUCUUAGCUAGCAGCCUGGCUCAGAGUGGACAAGGUGGAACCCUAUCCAUUAGUCCAACUUGGUGCUCUGUUCCCAACUCACACAAAACAAAUUUUCACCACAAAUUACCCCCAGAAAAUGUCGUAAAAGUACAAAACGUCCCAAACAAACCUUUGAAUACAAAGUGCCAAACCGUAAUUUGACAAUGUUUUGAAAGCAAUACUCCAGCCGCCCAACACGGACGCGGAAUCGUAUAUGAUUUUAUAAAGGCCGGCAACAGGCAGAGGCAGGACCUUCACUGUUCAAACUCAGGAACACACAUUCCAAAACCAGAAAUCAAAAGGCUGAAACACCCUGUUCACAGUUCCUCAAUUCUUCUAGGUAAAUUACCUCCCACGUUUCUAUAUGCUUCUUUUAUUUUUCUCUUCACAUCACAAAAUUAAUUUAUUUACUUCUACUCCUGUUUUAUUUUAUUUUAUUUAUCAAUUUUUACGCCAAGUCAUUUGGCUGUGUCGACGCCAUGUCUGAAAAGGGCGAAAGUAAUGAUAAAGUAUAAUAAAAGCUAUAAGCUGACGGGUGAAGGAAAUGAAUGAAGUGGCGGUGUGGUAAACAUCAAUAUUGCCAAGCCUAAAAUUAGAGACGGUGGCUGAU
rnacentral:lncRNA from 1 species